rnacentral:lncRNA from 1 species
GUUUGAGGCGCUGGGUUCUUCCUCAGCACCACAUAAAAAUAAAUAAACAAAUAAAAUAAAGGUAUUGUGUCCAACUACAAUUGAAAAAUAAAUAUUAAAAAAAAGAAUGUGCUUAUCAUCAGUGUAAUGAUAAAUCAUCAAAAGAAUGCAAAACUCUUCAGUGCUUGGGGAGGCCAAGAAUCAUUUUAAGGAAUAUCACAUCAAGAUAACAUUUCACAAACAGAAAUAAAUUAUGGGUCAAAUGAUUUCUUUAUGCAAUAUUUACAAUAGUCAUUUGAAUUUUUUUGCAAUUUUUGUGGCUCAGAAUUAAUCCCAGAGUCUUCUCUAAAGCAGAACCUCUCUAAGCCAAAAUUACUUGAAAUUUAGGAGUCAGAGAUUUGCGAUCUGCAAAUUCUAUGCACACUAUUAACUAUGUGACUGUAAACAAAUUACACAGUCUUCAGAGAGAAUGAUUUUUAUCAGUGAGGCAAUCCUUGGUAAACAACAAGCAGUAUGCACAUGUGAGACAUGAAAAUUGUUAAAAUAAUUUUUUAUGACUUUUGCCGGUAAAUGGAUGGAUCUGGAGAUUAUCAUGCUAAAUGAAAUAAGCCAAUCCCCCCAAACCAAAGGUUAAAUGUUCUCUCUAAUAUGUGGAUGCUAACACAUAACAAGUGGGUGGAGUAGAUUAGGGAAAGGUGAAUGAAAGGAAGGGAGGGUGAUGAGAACAAGAAAAACAGUAGAAUUAAUUGGGCAUAACUUUCCUAUGUUCAUAUAUGAAUAUACCACUAGUGAAACUACACAUCAUGUACAGCCACAAGAAUGGAUUCUAAUUAGAAUGUUAUACUCCAUGUAUGUAUAAUAUGUCAAAAUACAUUCUACUGUCAUGUAUAUCUAAAAAGAACAAAUAAAAGAAUUUUUGUCCCUGCAGAAGUUCCUUUCCUCCUCCUCCUCUCCCUCCAUAUCUCCCUCCCUCCCUCCCUUCUCUCCCCCACCUCCAUUCUGUCUUGCUACUACGUGACUACAGAACCUAAUAAUGGGCACCACUACAACUGCAGAGCUCUAGACAUAAUGCCUACGAAGAAGUAACUUGUCUACAGAACCAGAUGUCUCCACCUUAUUUAUAAACCUGUGUAAGAUCAUGAUGUGUAUUCCUGAAUUUUUAUUGUAAAGAGAGUAUGUUAGUAUUGAGACCGAGAACUUGUUAGGAAUUAUGGCUCUGAGUAGUUCCCAAACCUUAAGAUUUCAUAGAUCUAUAUUUCUUCUUCAGUACAAUAGGACAACUAUAGAAAAACAAUUUAUAUUUCAAAAUGUCUAGAAGAGUAUGACUUCCCAAGACAUAAAAAUGAUUAAUGUUUGAAGAGGUGGAAAUACUUAUUGCCCUGGUUUGAUCUUUAUACAGUACAUAUAUGUAUUUAAUGACCAUAAUUUACUCCAUAAACACGUACAAAUAUUAUGUGUUAAUCAAAAAUUAAACACCAAUAAAAAACAUUUCACAGCUCUAAAUACAAUUUUAAGGAAAAUGGAGGAGAACAAACAGGGUAGCCAAUUUUUCUUGUGUCCAUUAAUAUCAUUAAGAAUAAAACAAAUGAAAAUUGUUAAGUAAAAAUAAAAACAUACUAAGGUACAUUAUAAGUUAUAGAAUGCCAGAGGAUAAUCAGAUUCUAAAACUUUCCAGAGAGAAAAAACUAAAGGUUACCUGCAAAGGAAGAAGUGUCAUUGUCUUCUUGGUCUUAAGUACAAUGAAGGAUGCUAGAAUACAGGAUGCUGAGGUCUUCCCGAUUUUGAGAAUUGAUUUUUCCAAAUUAGAGCUCUAUAUCCAGCCAAGUUAUCAAACAAUUUAAGACAUUUUCUUUUCAUACAUGCAAGAACAAAACACUAAAUCUCCCUAUGUGCUUUUGUGGAAACCAUGGAGGAAAUCUUCAUUGAAACGAAGAAAUGUACCUAAUAGAGGAAAGCAUGAUAUCCAGGAAUUAUGGGAACAGGAGCCAGCAUAAGGCACUCAGUAUGAUAUACCUACCCAAACCCCAGAAAGCAGCCAGUCCUUGCAGGAGAAAAAGAAAAAUUCAGGAGGACAUCUCUAGAGGAGAGGAAAAUGGCACGGGUGGAUUAUUUGACAUAUAAUCAUUUUAAAAUAUUUGCUAGACAUUUGUUGGUGCUGUUUGAAGAGUGGGGUGAAAAACAGUAAUAAACUAAGCAAACCCAAAGUAAUACAGAUUCUUAAAUAAAUCAACAUCAUUCAGCUAUAGUUCUAUGAAUUAAAUAAUUAUAAACAACAACAAUACCGCAUUUUAGCUAAUUGAAAAGAAAUCUUAAGCGUUUCAUUCAAAGUUGUGUACUUUGUCAUGACAAAGCUGGGCUCAAAUAUCCCCUCAAUGGCCACAUAUCCUCCCCCACCCCCUUUGGUCUCAAUAAAGACUUCGAUCAUUCUA